GACGGCUCAAGCCGCCCCGCAGUAGCAGUUUUGCAGAGGCAAUCGUCGCGAACUGGCGCAGCGCCUCCCAGCAAAGGCGGCAAGCCGGCAGCCAACGGUGCCUCCUACCAACCAUUCCUGCUCAGAGAUUGAUGCUUCGAUUUUCCAGUAAUGUAGGCGAUUGGGAAUUCCAUCAUUGAUCGUUCCAAGCAGGCUCAUUGAAGAAAAAUCCAUCUCUCCGCUUUGCUAGGAAGCAAUAUUUGUUGCACAAUGUCAUGAGCAACAGUGCAGUGGUGACCUUCGCUUCACCAAGGGCUUCUCUGCAGCUAUCGAGGGUUAGUGUGUAGACGGAGACGCCGACAACGAGAUGGCUGAUAGGGGUGGCGCCGGCAAUGGCGAGGACGUCGACCGACAACAACAGCAUCCCCCUCUCCCAUCAGCAGCUAUGCCACAAUGCUACUCGAGUACUAAAACAAUAUUGGACAAUAUUGAUACAAUCAGGAAUCAGCUAACAUGAAUAUGUGCAUAUGCGUCGGUGCUACUACUGAAGCAGGCAAUGAAACUAAAGGGUGCAUGUUUUGUUCUUUUUCUA